rnacentral:rRNA from 1 species
ACGAACGCUGGCGGCGUGCCUAAUACAUGCAAGUCGAACGGUCUUUUCUAUGGAAGCUUGCUUCCAACUGAGAAGAUAGUGGCGAACGGGUGAGUAACACGUGGGUAACCUGCCCAUAAGAGGGGGAUAACAUCCGGAAACGGGUGCUAAUACCGCAUAGUUUUCUUGAUCGCAUGAUUGAGAAAGGAAAGACGGCCUUUGUGCUGUCGCUUAUGGAUGGACCCGCGGCGUAUUAGUUAGUUGGUGAGGUAACGGCUCACCAAGACGAUGAUACGUAGCCGACCUGAGAGGGUGAUCGGCCACAUUGGGACUGAGACACGGCCCAAACUCCUACGGGAGGCAGCAGUAGGGAAUCUUCCGCAAUGGACGAAAGUCUGACGGAGCAACGCCGCGUGAGUGAAGAAAGGUUUUCGGAUCGUAAAACUCUGUUGUCAGAGAAGAACAAGUUGGAGAGUAACUGCUCCAGCCUUGACGGUAUCUGACCAGAAAGCCACGGCUAACUACGUGCCAGCCGCUGC